CAACAAUUUCAACCUUAAAAUAUGCUUGAGGUCGUUGGUCACUUGGGCAAGUUUUUGGAGUUUAUUUAUGAUUAAAACGUGUGCAAUUACCUGAAUCAAAUUUCAAAAACAUAUAUGUUCUAGUUGCCAACGAGGGUUCUCUUUUUAAUAGUUCGGAAGCUUUAGAUAUAUACAUACAGAUCCACCGAGGGUAUAAUCUGGCAUUCAGAAAGUAGGGAUACUCUCAUAGCCUUUCAUAAAACACAAUACAGACAGUAGCCCAUCUCCACAACAAACCAAAACCACCUUCGUCAUACAUAUCAUAACUGUCGCAACCCUUUCGAGGCUCUUAGCUCAGGACUCGCUAGAUCCCGGAGGGGUUCACAUCUCUCUUGCCUGCACCUCAAAGCAUCUAAAACCAUAGCCGGGUGUUUCAAGUCCUGCCGUUCUGAUGCUCUGCCUUAAAGAUGAGGCCAAAACAACCACAACCUCGAACAGACCAAAUGCACAAUCAAGGGAAACAGCAGGAAAAUGGAAGAUGUGUCAGCUGUCAGGUGUGGCCCAUCGCAAGAAUGCUGGACCUCCGCUGAGUUUGACUUGCAUAUCAUAUCGUAAAAAUCACCCACAUCCUCUGAUCAACAAACGAACUCACAGCUACGCGGAAACAUGAUAAGUUGAUACACAGGCCCCUAAACUCACGAACUAAAAAUCCUCAAAUAAGAAGGUUAGCACACUACCAUUGACACACAAGAAUAAGACAGUCUGAGACAGUGCUGAAUGGCAAGAGGAGCUAUUUGUUGCUGCGCAAAGAGCAUUCAGCGGCGCUUCUUCACAAAAAUUAGGGUUUCUCUUUUGCCACCAAAUCUAGGUUAUUUUCUUUUUAUGAGCUAGUAGCUCCUAUCUAUGCAAUUUGCUGCUAGAUCAUGGAAGCGUGUUAUUAUUAGAAUUGGCUAGUGAAUAGCAGAUGCAUCAGAAGAGGACUUGGUUCUGAAUGGAAUCUUACAAUGUUUGUCAAGGAUAUCACAGUAUUUCAUUCCAGCAAACCUUGAUUCAAAAUAAUCUUAAGUAAAUUUUUGUUUCAGAGAAUCUUAAUAAUAUUCUAAUCCUACCAAAUCGUAAGCAAAUUUUUAUCUUGAUAAUUUUUUGAAAAUUUUGUUUUUUCUCCUAAAACAAUUCUAUAAAAAUCAUAGUUCUAGCAGAUCUUAAUUCUAAUCUUGUUUUUAAGUAUACUUUAAUCCUCACAAUUCAAAAAAUUGAAGAAUUUUUUUGUAAAUAUUUUGCAAUCCCAAGACAUUAGAGAUUGAAACCUCUUCUUUCUUCUCUCUCUCUGUUUUUAUUUUGUUUUAUUUUUAUUUUCUUUUUCUUUUUUAAUGGAAUAAAUGGUAAUCACCAAAAAAAAAAAUUAAUAAAAAUAUUUUGCAGGUGGAUAGAGAAGAAUUCAAGAAUCUACUAUGGAUAAAUUGGAAAAAAUCAAUUUUACUUAAAUUUGGUGUUUAUUCAAUGAAUUUAUUUAAUCUUAGUACUUGUUUUAUUUAGGUAAAAAUUAAUAAUUUUUAGUACUUAUUUCAACUGAUUGAAUUGCAAAAAAUGCUUCACCUUUGAUGUUUACUCUUAGAAAUUCUUGCAAAAUAUUGUAAUUAGUUAUUUACUAAAUCUGCAGAAUAAAUGCCACUUUCUUUCCUAUGCUACUUUGCAUUCAUUUUGAGUUAAUGUUAUUAUCAAUCUUUGAGCUCAUGUCUCCUAUCUAAGCUAGCUCCAAUCAUAUUUAUUGCUAAAUGUGCAAUUCUUGUACCUGUUCUCCUUUUUGGAAACUAAUUUGGAAAGUUUGUUUUCUUUCUACUUAGCCACUUCUUAUUGCUAUACUCAUGUCAACUCUUUUUUAAUGUACACACACAAAAUUUAUUUUUGUUUUUAAAAAAACCAUUAAUGUUAUUUGAUCUCACUUACUUUAUCAUUAUAUUUGUUUCUUUAUUUUGUAAUAUACCUUCAUCUUGACUUAACUUUUAUUUUUCUACUUCUAACUUGUUUUAUAAAAAGAACAAAAACUAAGAAUUGCAUCUAUUAUUUUUUCUUGUUAAAUGUUAAUGCCUCUAACCAUCUGUAUUGUGCCAUCAAUUAAUUCCAUUAAUCUCUUAUCACAUUAUUAAUGUAGUUGGCUUAGCUAGGAUUGUGUAAAGUCUAAUGUAUCUCUCACUUUAAGUUACUCUUAUUGUGUUCUCUUUGCUCUUGUUUCUUUUGUUUAUCUUUUAUUUCUUAGCAUAUUUUUUUAAUAAGAAUUGUUUAUCUUUUUUUCUUUUUUUUCUAUUGUAAUCUACUUACCAAAGAAAUCUAUAAAAAAUAUUAUACAUAGCAUCUUAUAUGGUAUUAUUAGAGCUAAACAUUAGAAUGUAUUACAUUAUUAGAAUUUGGAUGUUACAUAGACUAUAUUUUGCAUCAAAUUAGCAAGAAUAAGAAGACUAUGAAUUAUUUCUCUUAUAUUAGAAUCUAUCUUAAAUCUAAUCUUUUUAUUUUUUAAUUAGAAUUUUUUUCAAUUAGUAGAAUCUCUUACAUCCAUCAUAUUUUUUUUCAAUAUUUUUUUGUAUGUUUUUGUUAUAACAUCACCACUAAAUUGUCUAUGCAAGCUUAUAAAUGUCAACUUUAAGCAUUUUCAUAAAGCUCUAUGUUUUUUAAAAAAGCUAUACUUAGUUUAAAUAAAAUUAGAUCUUUCAAUGUAGGUUACCAAGAUUUUGGAACAAACCAAAAAAAAACUCUUAUAAUCUAUUAAUAUUAUUUGAAAGCAUAUCCAAAAUAUGUUUAGAUUGACAAAUUAAGAAUGAGACAAAAUCAUUAUAGUUUAUACUUUUUUUUUAAUUAGUUUUAUAGAUUACAUUUACCAACUCUAUUAAAUAGAUUUACUAAUUCCUUUUGAUCUACACAACUUAAUCUAAUUAUAAAUUACAAUACUUUUAUUCUAUAUAAAAUAAAAAUGAAACAUAUUACAUUUUAAAAUAGUUAUAAUUAAAAAUAUUUAUCCAAUCUAUAUAUGAAACUUUAUCCAAAGGCUAAUAAACUUUCAAUUUGCAUAAAAUUAUGAACUUAAAACAUUCCUUGUAGUUCUACAAAGUGUAGAAUUAUUAGAUUCUUAAAUUAACAUGGCCAAAGUGUUCAAAUUUCUACAAUCUUGAAUUAUGUUCUAUUUUUAAUAUUUAAAAGUUUGGCUUAUUUUUUCUAGAGAAUAACCUUGACUUCAUCUACUUUAAUAUUAAAUUUAACAUUAUAAUUAAUCAUAUUAAUGUUCUCUAUCAAUUCUUUAUCAUAUCCUAUUUAAGAACUAAUCUUUAUCUUUUUGCUUUUGUAUUACAAUUUCUUUUGACUUCUCAAAGAAUCCAACAUGAAAUCAAAUACAUAUAUAUAUAUAUAUAUAUAUAUAUAUACAUACUUUUUUAUGAUCUUUUUAAUUUUUAUUUAAUAUCUAUUAAUAUAAAAUAAUCAAGAUUUAUAAUCCUUCUACUAUUAUAAUCUUCUUCUUUUUUUCUAGAUUGUCUUAAUUUUAAAUCAAACUUAUUAUUAUAACAUUCUUUAACAUGUUAUUCAAUAAUCUUAAUUCUUGAAUAUACUAUAAAAUAACAAAACACCAUCAAAAAAGCUAUAUACUUCUAUGAAACUAAUGAUAGUAUUUGUAAAUUUUUAAGAAUUCUUAUUUAAUUAAUUACAUAUAUAAUAUUUUUAGAAUCAAGAAUAUAGAUUUUAAGUUUUUUUGUAAGUUCAACUUUUGUUACAAUAUCAUAAUAUCCUUAAUUUUUUUUUAAAAAAAACUAAUAUAGAAAUGAUUUCAAGAUAUUUUAGUAAAAUUCAAAAAUCUAAAACUAUGUAUAUUUUAUUGAUUUGACAUCUUUCAUUUACAAUAAAUUUUAAAGUAAGUUUAAAAUUUUAAAGUAAGUAGAAAUUUAAAAAAUAUUUCUAUUAUUAUUUCUUCAAUGUUAAGAUAAAUAGUUUUAUAUUUUUUUAUAACAUUUUCAGUAAUUGAUGGAGGUUUUGUAUGAUUAAAAAAUAUUGAAUUGAAAAAAUAAAUUAAAUUAUUUGUAAAAUUAUUAUAUAUAUAUAUAAGAUGUUUUUGUUUAUAAUGAGAUAGUCUUAUUUCAUAAUUUAAAAAAUGUGCAAAGGACUUAUAUACCUUUAAACAAACUAAGCAAGAUUCUAUACAAAAUAUUGUUGAUUUAAAAAGAUAAUGAAUUAAAGAUUGAACUAAUUUCAAUUUAAUUUUACUUCUUCUUGUAACAUAUUAAUUUUAUUAAAUUAUUUUUUACAAUUAUUAUAAAGUAGCUUAUUGAAAUUUUGAUUUUAAAUAUUUUUGGACUUUUAAAAUUUAAAUUUAGUGAAAAAGUUUAGAUCAAAUAUCCUUAAUCAGACGAAAUCGAUAAUUGUUUGAAUAACUCUAUUUAUUACAAUUACGUGGUCUAUAAAUUUAAUACUGUUGGGCAGCAAUAAAAAUAAGUUGAUUUCUAACUUGUUUGAUUCAUAUAAGAUAAAAUAAAUAAAAUAGAGUGUUAAAUUUAUUAGUGCUUUAAAAUAAAUAAAAGAAUGUUUCAAAAUACAUCUUUAUAUAAUAUACUUUUAUUUGUUAUCAUAUUCUGUAAGAGUAGCUAAAAGAUACAAGAGGAUUUGUUUUAAAUUUUAAAAAUCUUCUUAUUUUCCAAUGCAAAAAACAUCAUAUAUAUAUAUAUAUAUAUACAAAACUAAAUAGAUUACUAUUUGUUAUUUUUAUCUUAUCUUUUUAAAUCAUAUUUUAUAUACUACAUAUUUUUUAGAACAAACAUUUAUUUCAAGCAUAUUUUUUAAUUUACGAAUAAUCUAAAAAAUAUCUUAGUCAUUUUUUUAGAGCAAGAAUAACAACAAUGUUAUAUUUUUUAUGUUUGACAUUCUCAGAACUUUACUAUUCUUGAUACUUCAUUAUAUAGUGUUUUUUAAUUUCUUCCCCUCAUCUCCAACUUUCUAUUAUUAAAUAAUAUAAUGAUUUGAUAGACAAUGACAAUUAUGUGUCAGAUAAUGGUCAAUAUAAAUAUUUUGACUUGUUAACUAUUUUCAUAUUAUUUUACUUAUAUAUUUUAGAAAUUCGAUUAAAAUGUUCAACUCACAUUCAAAUACUCAAUUUAAAAAAAUUAAAUUAAAUUGCAAAAACUUAUAUAAGCACAAAUAGUAUUCUUUUUAUCUAUCCUAAUAUAUAGAUAUUCGUAACAUGACAUUAUGUUUUGAGUGAAACUUAGAGAUUACAUUCUCAUGAAGAAAAAAACGUAGUUAAGUUUAUUGUCACAGAAAGCAACAUCUUCCACUCAACAAAGGCAACCUCUAUUCAUUGGAGGCAUUGCCUGCAGAAAUAGUGAUGCAAUAUACAUCCAUCCAUCAUCCACCAUUUCAUACACUAAGUCAGGGCCCUAUCACCGGGGCUCCUAUCACCGGAGUCCCGUGAAUUGGAUUGCACUAGCGCCACGCUUGUUUGCAGCUUUUGACACUAGAAUUUGUGUUAAGCUUAACCGGAGGGACAUUGUAUGGUAUAUUCACAUGUAGCGAAGGCAAGUGUGGGAUGGAUAGCUGCUAGAGGUGGAUGUUGUAGUCACCAAGGAAUUAGGCCUCGGUGUUGAGCACGUUGCAACGCUAGGCAUGCUUCAUUGAAUCAGUAUGCCACUGAACUGUUCCUUACCUUGUUUCGGCAAAAUUUAGCAUCCGGAAAGAGACCUGAUGAUGAAACUGACCUCGUGCUGCAACAAGGUCUGAGUUGCGGUGGAGGACAUGGGCUCACUUAGGUAUGUGUGUGGCGGCGAUGAGAAAGUCCGGGGCUGCUCAAAUAAAGGUUCAGUCCGGCAACACAGUGCUGAACCUGUCAUUGAGCAGGACAAUGCGUUUAGCUAUGGCCUUAGAGAACCACUUCGUGGUAACUUGUCCCAUCGUGCAGUCUGCUUGGGAAAUGAUAGGUAAGCAGCUAGCAAAUUUUGUCGCAAUGAGAGAUGCAUCAGAAGAGAGAAUGAGACAAACAUACCACACGUAUCAUCGUGCACAUGGAGGAAAUUGCAGCACCGUUUUCAGUAAAUUAGAAUUCAUUUAUCUGCUCGGGAGGGAUUCAUAGACGCUGCGCUUAUUGAGCUUUCCAGAAGCAUUACCUUAAUAUUUAAGGACGAAACUGUUCUGUCGAGGAUAGUAACGAAGCAGUGUUACAUGAUGGCUUUCGAAGGUUGCCCUCCCAGGUGCUGUUAGAUACUUGAAAGAACCUAGGUUUGUCACUACGUUUGACAAUGUGUCACUGAUCUGUCGAGUAUAGUGGCAGACUGAACUAAUCAUGAAAAUAGGACUCAAGUAGGUACCUUACUUUCAUUUGUCGACAGCAAGAAGAUAGAAAUGAGCUGCUGGAGAGGAAAAGUCUGAUGACCCAAUUUAAGAAAUCAUACGUGUUUAUAACGCGAUGUAAAUUUAAGUAAAUCAUACGUGUUUAAAUCGCGUUACCCUGCUCAUCGCAAAUUUACUCAUACGCGUUAUAAACACGUAAAUUUUUUUGCGCCUGAAUAAUUUCGAAUGGGCAUUCGCUUCUUAUUUGUAUGGACAUGUCAAACCACCGUUCCAGCAACAGUAAACUGCAGUUACAUGUUAUGUCGAUAUCCAGUGUACGAAUUAAUCAGAUCGGUCGUUACCUGAUGCACGAUUUGGUCCCAAUGCGGUUUUAAGCUUACGGAUGGAGUCCAUCAGGAGAUAGGGGCUCGUUGUGGAAAGAAUUCCACUAUGCGCCAACAUCGAGUUCCAUCUAGUAAGUUCGUUUCUGCAAACAUUUCUACGAGCAAGAUUUACUGCGAGACCUCACAUGAGAAACUGCUUCAGAUGGCUCAGAAUUCGUUAUCACAUCUCAGCAGCGUCAUGCCUCAUAUUCGGGAAAAAUAGAUAUCCUCAUAGAUUUCGCAACGCAUACAGUACAGACACCAACCCAUCUCCUCGACUAAUGAAAACCACCUUCGUCAUACAUAUCAUAACUGUCGCAACCCUUUCGAGGCUCUUAGCUCAGGACUCGCUAGAUCCCGGAGGGGUUCACAUCUCUCUUGCCUGCACCUCAAAGCAUCUAAAACCAUAGCCGGGUGUUUCAAGUCCUGCCGUUCUGAUGCUCUGCCUUAAAGAUGAGGCCAAAACAACCACAACCUCGAACAGACCAAAUGCACAAUCAAGGGAAACAGCAGGAAAAUGGAAGAUGUGUCAGCUGUCAGGUGUGGCCCAUCGCAAGAAUGCUGGACCUCCGCUGAGUUUGACUUGCACAUCAUAUCGUAAAAUUCACCCACAUCC
rnacentral:lncRNA from 1 species